GAAACAUGUGAUGACGACGACUGCUGUGACGACCCCAACAAAGGCAAAAUCUCAUCCCCCAGGGGUGUGGAAAGCAUCCGCUGCAAAAACUGAGGGAAAAGAUCAAGAAGUGGUAAAGAAGAGGGAAACAGAGACAAAAAGAGAGACUUCUGUUACUGGAUCAAGGAUCGAAAUGAGUAGAGCAGAUGGUCAGAGCCAUGGCAGUAGUAGCUAUGCAGGAAGUCUCACGGGCUCAGAGCAAGCAACUAAGCAUCCUUUAAAGACGCCUGAAUGGGUUCAGAGAUCAUCACCUAAACCGAAAAAGAGCCCUGAUAGAAGUUCUGAUAAGCCUGAAUGGGUUCAGACAUCAUCAGCUCGAUCGACAAAGAGCCCUGAUAGAAGCUCUGAUAAGCCUAAAUCGUUUCAGAGAUCAUCACCUAGAUCGACAAAGAGCCCUGAUAAAAGCUCGGGAAGAGUAGCGGAUGAUGUUAAGGAUCUUAAGGGAGCUCUC
rnacentral:lncRNA from 1 species